rnacentral:rRNA from 1 species
GAUGAACGCUGGCGGCGUGCCUAAUACAUGCAAGUCGAGCGAACAGACGAGGAGCUUGCUCCUCUGACGUUAGCGGCGGACGGGUGAGUAACACGUGGAUAACCUACCUAUAAGACUGGGAUAACUUCGGGAAACCGGAGCUAAUACCGGAUAAUAUAUUGAACCGCAUGGUUCAAUAGUGAAAGACGGUUUUGCUGUCACUUAUAGAUGGAUCCGCGCCGCAUUAGCUAGUUGGGAAGGUAACGGCUUACCAAGGCAACGAUGCGUAGCCGACCUGAGAGGGUGAUCGGCCACACUGGAACUGAGACACGGUCCAGACUCCUACGGGAGGCAGCAGUAGGGAAUCUUCCGCAAAGGGCGAAAGCCUGACGGAGCAACGCCGCGUGAGUGAUGAAGGUCUUCGGAUCGUAAAACUCUGUUAUUAGGGAAGAACAAAUGUGUAAGUAACUAUGCACGUCUUGACGGUACCUAAUCAGAAAGCCACGGCUAACUACGUG